AUGUAUGAAGAUAAAGAUAUCAAGAUGCAGAUCAAUGAGUACCAUAAGCUGUUGGAAGAACUGAAAGCUGAAAACAUUACUCUGCCUGACCAAUUUGUUGUUGGAAUUCUCAUUGAGAAGUUGCCAGAAUCAUGGAAGGGUUACAAGAAUAAACUCAAACACAAACAAAAGCAAUUACCUUUGGUAGAUUUGAUCAUGCGGAUCAUUAUCAAGGAUACAAACAAAAGCAAUUAUCUUUGGCAGAUUUGA